rnacentral:rRNA from 1 species
AUUGAACGCUGGCGGCCGGCCUAACACAUGCAAGUCGAGCGAGCGGCGGACGGGUGAGUAAUGUUUGGGAAACUGCCUGAUGGAUGGGGAUCACUACUGGAAACGGUAGCCAAUACCGCAAACCAUCAGAUGAGCUCAGAUGGGAUUAGCUAGUAGGUGGGGUAAUGGCUAACCUAGGCGACGAUCCCUAGCUGGUCUGAGAGGAUGCCCAGGCACAAUGCAAAUGUGAAAAGGUCCCAACUGCUACGGGAGGCAGCAGUGGGGAAUAGUGCACAAUGGGCGGUAGCGUGAUGCAGCCAAGGCGCGUGUGUGAAGAAGGCCUUCGGGUUGUAAAGCACUGUCAGCGGGGAGGCGUAACCCGCAGAAGAAGCACCGGCUAACUCCGUGCCAGCAGCCGCGGUAAUUC